rnacentral:rRNA from 1 species
CGUAGGGGGCGAGCGUUGUCCGGAUUUAUUGGGCGUAAAGAGCUCGUAGGCGGUUUGGCAAGUCGGGUGUGAAAACUCCGGGCUCAACUCGGAGACGCCACUCGAUACUGCCAUGACUCGAGUCCGGUAGGGGAGUGCGGAAUUCCUGGUGUAGCGGUGAAAUGCGCAGAUAUCAGGAGGAACACCGGUGGCGAAGGCGGCACUCUGGGCCGGUACUGACGCUGAGGAGCGAAAGCGUGGGGAGCGAACAGGAUUAGAUACCCUGGUAGUCCACGCCGUAAACGUUGGGCACUAGGUGUGGGGCUCGAUCGACGGGCUCCGUGCCGUAGCUAACGCACUAAGUGCCCCGCCUGGGAAGUACGGCCGCAAGGCUA